AAGUAAACAAUUGGACAUCCGAGGACGACCUUCAUUAGCCUUUGAAGGGAGUCCCGGUGGUGACCUAUUCACAACUCUCUUAUUAAUCAGGAUCUGAAUUUUAAUCCUAUUUAUCUGAAAUGGUUAAUGAAAUGGCAGCUACACUAGCCCAGUAAGAAUAUCAUACUACUCACCAAUACAGAAAUGAAGGUUGAUAAAAAUCAUAAAAACAACUAAUAGAGCUCUUG
rnacentral:lncRNA from 1 species